rnacentral:rRNA from 3 species
UACGUAGGGGGCUAGCGUUAUCCGGAUUUACUGGGCGUAAAGGGUGCGUAGGCGGUCUUUCAAGUCAGGAGUUAAAGGCUACGGCUCAACCGUAGUAAGCUCCUGAUACUGUCUGACUUGAGUGCAGGAGAGGAAAGCGGAAUUCCCAGUGUAGCGGUGAAAUGCGUAGAUAUUGGGAGGAACACCAGUAGCGAAGGCGGCUUUCUGGACUGUAACUGACGCUGAGGCACGAAAGCGUGGGGAGCAAACAGG